rnacentral:rRNA from 1 species
UCCAGCGCCGAUAGCACGUUGGAUGCACCAGUUCACAAUGGAUCAUUGAAGGUAAGCAACGUUGUGCGUGGUUAGUAUCCGGAUGGGUGACCAUCUGAGCAAUCACGUGCUGCUGGUU